UACAGGGGGUGCAAACGUUGCUCGGAAUUAUUGGGCGUAAAGCGCACGUAGGCGGUUUGUUAUGUCGGAUGUGAAAGCCCUUGGCUCAACUGAGGAAGUGCUUUCCGAACUACUGGGCUUGAAUACUGGAGAGGGUCGCGGAAUUCCCGGUGUAGAGGUGAAAUUCGUAGAUAUCGGGAGGAACACCAGUGGCGAAGGCGGCGACCUGGACAGAUAUUGACGCUGAGGUGCGAAAGCGUGGGGAGCAAACAGG
rnacentral:rRNA from 1 species